rnacentral:rRNA from 1 species
UACGUAGGGUGCGAGCGUUGUCCGGAAUUAUUGGGCGUAAAGGGCUCGUAGGCGGUUUGUCGCGUCGGGAGUGAAAACACCGGGCUUAACUCGGUGCUGGCUUUCGAUACGGGCAGACUAGAGGUAUUCAGGGGAGAACGGAAUUCCUGGUGUAGCGGUGAAAUGCGCAGAUAUCAGGAGGAACACCGGUGGCGAAGGCGGUUCUCUGGGAAUGUCCUGACGCUGAGGAGCGAAAGUGUGGGUAGCAAACAGG